rnacentral:sRNA from 1 species
AAGUUCAAAAUUGGGACUACGUGCGUCC